CUGAACAUCAGUACAUGGAUGGUUGAACGUCUGACAUGCCUGAUGGAGUGCACUGUGUUGGCAUAACCGUAAAUGCAAGUGUGUAAUGGUGGAAAUUCAGCUGAGAGCGUCUUUCCUUGACCACAGUUGUGGCGGGCAGAAAGCGGUGACUCCGUACUGCUGCAGUCAAGGACACGUUGCUAUCUUUUGCGAGCGGCGUAGCUCAGUUGCGAGCUGGACUGCACAGAAGUGCUGUGAGCACAGCAAGCAAAAAACACCCAUUGCCAAGACUGCAGACUGCACCAAGCACAGACAGUUCAUUACCCUUGGGGCAUCAGUGCAAGAGGCUUUCCCCUCCCCCAGAGAUGUUUUGCCAAAAUGAGUACCAAUACAAACAGCCCUGCCUUCCCUCUGCUGUCUUCUGGCUGAGGAGUUUUCCCCAGCAAAAAUGUGUGGAAU